CCAUGCUGGACUUUGCAGACAUCCAUUCUUCAGUCUGUCAUGAGAUUCCUACUUGGGAAUAAUGCCAUGGCUUAGACUUAAGUCUACAAGUCCCAGUAGCCAGGACCGCUGACAGUGACUUCCAGGAUCUGGUGGAGUCCCUGGAAGACCUGCCCUGCCCUUCUGCUCACCAAGGUGUUGAAAAUUGAGGACUGCAAGGGAAUCAAUGUGGAACUCCUCUGUCUGAUUUAAGAACAGCCAGACUUACUCCAGACUCAGGAAGCCUCCCAAGCAAGACCCUUUUAUCUUUUGCAGCAUGUGGGGAUUGUCAGUGUGUGAAAUAAAUGGAAUAAAAAUUCUUAUGAGGCUAGAGAGAUCUCAGUAGUUAAGAACUCUUGCAGAAGAUAAGAAGCUCACAAGCACCUGAAAUUCCAGCUCCAGGGGUAUCCAGUGCUUGUGCAGGUGUCAGCAUUCACAUGUACACACCCCUACACACACACACACACACACACACACACACACACAUAUAAUUUUUUAAAAAAGAUUACACAUACCGAGCCAGGCAUGGUGGCACAUACCUCAACCUCAGCAUUCAGGAGACAAAGGCAGGCGAAUCUAUGACUCUGACAUCAGCCUGCCCUAUAUAUCGAGAUGCAGGCCAGCCAGAGCACCACAGAGACCUCGUCUCAAAAACCAAACCAAACCAACCAAUCAAACAAACGCCCCAAGAAUCUACAUGCUAAAGCUGGGGGUACUGUGAGUGCUGACAAUCCCAGCUUUCAGAAGGUGGUUGAAGGAGGAUCAGGGAUUCAAGGCCAGCCUUGGCUAUAUGAGUCCUAUCAAACACCAGUGUAACAGCAAAGAGAAUGAAGAUCUACAUCAGCCCUGAAUUAGAAAAUUUCCAGUGACUUUUAUGAACCCCAUACCUGAAAACCUCUGGUACAAAAGGAUCUAGAAGCCCCCCCAAAUAACUAAAAAUACCAUGUCACCCAGUAGGUCUACUCCAGACAGUCUUCCACUUUGGUAUGGAGCAGUGUACAGCUUGUUUAUCUAUCCACAGUCUCGCAGACAGAAUAGCAGCCCAUAGAGGCCAGAAGUCAGGCAAUGAACAGCAAGCUGUAUCUAAAGCAAACCCAAGGCCUCUAAGGCCGGUGUGUGGGUGCCGACUCCCUGUCUCAGGUGUUCUGAGUGCUGACUGGGCCCUUUUAUCUACUGAUAAGGAAGGUGAGCAUAAGAGAUCUUCAGAAAUGGUUCACACGGGCUCCCGGCUUCUUGAAAAACCGCAAGUGAUUGGCAAACGCUUCGGUUGCAGAUGCAAAGUCAAACAACAGCUGUUUCUUUCAGACUGCCCAAGAGGCAGGAGUCAUGCAUGGGGCAGUCCCCUUCCCCCUUCUCCCUUCCCCCACAGCCUCUUCCUCUUUCUGAUGUCACAUUUUUCUGACACCAAGAACGGAGGAAGCUAUCAAUAGAGACUUUCAAGAAGGGACACCCCACCCGACCCCCACCCCCUGCUAUAACCCUCUCUAAGAGUUAAUUAUAAAUCUUCCUUCUCAGUGGUUUUGGGAGAAGCUUGGGACCACAAAGCUUUGAAUUAUUGAGUGUUCUAAGGCAUGGAAUUACAGUGUCUAUAACUUCAUCUAGCACUCUCUGCUGAAAUGCAGAAUUGAGACGGCCCUUCCCUUACUUGCUGAGCAUUUUAAGGUGCAUACAGAGACAGAUAUUGAUUUGUUUGUUUGAGACAGGGUCUCUCUCUAUAGCCCCCAACUGGUCUCAAACUCAGAUAUCAUAAAGUUUUACCUGUUUAAUGAUAAUAAAAGAUCCUGAUGGUAUCUCUUUAAAGUAUCAAUUGAUUUAUUUUAUGUGU